rnacentral:piRNA from 1 species
UGGAAAUGCAAGGUGCAGUGUUGG